CUGACUGGUAGUGAGAUAUAUUAUGAUCUCUAUCACAAUAUCAUUGAAAACUCCUUUCAAUGGGUUGAAACAAUUCCAACUCAACUCACCUGGGAUUAUCGACCAUCGAGAUGAUCCCUGUGAGUCUCACCAUCCACCAGUGACACCUAGCAGUAUGUAGUGGCCACCCAGCAGAAUAGAAUGAUGAACCUCUAGGUGCAGCAAUCGUAGGAUACAGUCCUUCUAUCGUGGAUCCCUACAGAUCGGAGGUCAUGGAAAACUCGUCAAACCCCGUCGUCUGUCAUAUGUCUAGAUUUAUUUGACUUGAGUUCGAUAGUGAAAAACUCUUUCUCCACUUUAUAUUUCUGCCCUGGCCAAGGUCUUAGAACUCAGUCUAACAAAUCACAUAGGAUCACUCCUCUUCUAUCAAGGUCGAUAGAUUCCAUGUAAGUGCAUACCCUACUCCUACAGUGAACUUACUGCAGCCAAUCUAUACUACAAGGACCCAUAUGGCUAGAGACCAUG
rnacentral:lncRNA from 1 species